UUGGGUUCCAAGGACCUGAUGAGUUGGUCUGCAUUCAGUAGCUCUACCUCUGAACAGGAGAAGAGGGAGGUCUGCACACUACUCUUGUCCACUUCUCUGAAGCCACUCAGAAGUAAUGCCAGCUUGGGCAAGUGUUGGGGCCUGCCCAAUACUCUACAGAAUCUCCAGAGCUCCCAGGGCUCUACAGACCCGGACAUGGCACAGUAGCUUCCACAGGGGCAUCUCCGGUAACCUAAACAGCCCCAUUUGGAGCUUCUCUUGUCUUGUCUGAGAGUCUGGAUCCAACAGCUGUGGGGACGUAUCUAAGUGAG